rnacentral:tRNA from 1 species
GUUAAUGUCGCUUAAACUAAAGCAAGGCACUGAAAAUGCCUAGAUGAGUCACUAAAACUCCAUAAACA